rnacentral:rRNA from 1 species
UGAAUUUGUCUGGUGGCCUGCGUCCUGAGUCCUGACGCCUGAUUAGUGGCGGACGGGUGAGUAACGCGUGAGCAAUCUGCCUUCCAGAGGGGGACAACGCCUGGAAACGGGCGCUAAUACCGCAUAACGCAAGGGAUUCGCAUGUUUUCCUUGCCAAAGAUUUUAUCGCUGGAAGAUGAGCUCGCGUCCGAUUAGGUAGUUGGCGGGGUAAAGGCCCACCAAGCCCGCGAUCGGUAGCCGGACUGAGAGGUUGAACGGCCACAUUGGGACUGAGACACGGCCCAGACUCCUACGGGAGGCAGCAGUGAGGGAUAUUGCACAAUGGGCGCAAGCCUGAUGCAGCAACGCCGCGUGAGGGAAGACGGUUUUCGGAUUGUAAACCUCUGUCUUCGGUGACGAAUAACUGACGGUAGCCGAGGAGGAAGCCACGGCUAACUACGUGCCAGCAGCCGCGGUAAUACGUAGGUGGCGAGCGUUGUCCGGAAUUACUGGGUGUAAAGGGAGCGCAGGCGGGGAAACAAGUCAGCGGUGAAAUCCAGAGGCUCAACCUCUGGCCUGCCGUUGAAACUGUUUUUCUUGAGUGGAGUAGAGGCAAGCGGAAUUCCGAGUGUAGCGGUGAAAUGCGUAGAGAUUCGGAGGAACACCAGUGGCGAAGGCGGCUUGCUGGGCUCUAACUGACGCUGAGACUCGAAAGUGUGGGGAGCAAACAGGAUUAGAUACCCUGGUAGUCCACACCGUAAACGAUGAUUGCUAGGUGUGGGGGGUCUGACCCCCUCCGUGCCGGAGCUAACGCAAUAAGCAAUCCACCUGGGGAGUACGGCCGCAAGGUUGAAACUCACAGGAAUUGACGGGGGCCCGCACAAGCAGUGAUAUGUAUCAGACCG